ACUAUAUCUAGCCCAUACUCCUCCUCAUCACUACUACUACAAGUCAGUCAAAUAAAACAUUUACCAUACAUCUAAAGUAUAGGAGAUAGAAAUUUAAUUAUCAAUGGCGCUAUAGAGAAAGUACCGUAAGGGAAAGAUGAAAGAAUUAUUAAAAGUAGAAAAAAGCAAAGUUUACCCCUUGUACCUUUUGCAUAAUGAUUUAACUAGUAAUAAUUUAGCAAAGAGACCUUAAGUUAAAUUACCCGAAACCAGACGAGCUACUUACGAGCAGUAACUAGAACAAACUCAUCUAUGUGGCAAAAUAGUGAGAAGACUUGUAGGUAGAGGUGAAAAGCCUAACGAGCCUGGUGAUAGCUGGUUGUCCAAGAAAGGAAUUUCAGUUCAACAUUAAACAAUACUAAAAACCAUACUAAGUUCCAACGUAUGUUUAACUGUUAGUCUAAAAAGGUACAGCUUUUUAGAAAUGGAUACAACCUUUACUAGAGAGUAACAUAAAACUUAAACCAUAGUUGGCCUAAAAGCAGCCAUCAAUUAAGAAAGCGUUCAAGCUCAACAAUAAAAACAAGUUUUAAUUUCAAUAAUAAACAAAAAACUCCUAGCCUGACUAUUGGACUAAUCUAUUCAAUUAUAGAAGAAAUACUGUUAAUAUGAGUAACAAGAAAAAUUUUCUCCUUGCACAAGCUUAUNUCAGUANNNNNNNNNNNNNNNNNNNNNNNNNNNNNNNNNNUAUANCCUAACACUAAACUAUUUAUUAAUCGCACUGUUAAUCCAACACAGGUGUGCACCAAGGAAAGAUUAAAAAGAGUAAAAGGAACUCGGCAAACACAAACCCCGCCUGUUUACCAAAAACAUCACCUCUAGCAUAACUAGUAUUAGAGGCACUGCCUGCCCAGUGACAAUCGUUAAACGGCCGCGGUAUCUUGACCGUGCAAAGGUAGCAUAAUCACUUGUUCUCUAAAUAAGGACUUGUAUGAAUGGCCACACGAGGGUUUUACUGUCUCUUACUCUUAAUCAGUGAAAUUGACCUCCCCGUGAAGAGGCGGGGAUAAUACAAUAAGACGAGAAGACCCUAUGGAGCUUUAAUUAAUCAGCUCAAAAAGCAUAAAAUAAUACCACCAAGGGAUAACAAAGCUUUAGAUGGGCUGACAAUUUCGGUUGGGGUGACCUCGGAGUAUAAAAAACCCUCCGAGUGAUUAAAACUUAGGCCUACCAGCCAAAGUAUAGUAUCACUUAUUGAUCCAAAAUUUUGAUCAACGGAACAAGUUACCCUAGGGAUAACAGCGCAAUCCUAUUCUAGAGUCCAUAUCGACAAUAGGGUUUACGACCUCGAUGUUGGAUCAGGACAUCCUAAUGGUGCAGCAGCUAUUAAGGGUUCGUUUGUUCAACGAUUAAAGUCCUACGUGAUCUGAGUUCAGACCGGAGUAAUCCAGGUCGGUUUCUAUCUAUUACGCAUUUCUCCCAGUACGAAAGGACAAGAGAAAUAAGGCCAACUUUAAAAAAGCGCCUUCAAACAAUUAGUGACCCAGUCUCAACCUAAUAACCUAGCGCAAACAUAUCCUGCCCAAGAUCAGGGCUUU
rnacentral:rRNA from 1 species